GACGAACGCUGGCGGCGUGCUUAACACAUGCAAGUCGAACGGAAAGGCCCCUUUGGGGGUACUCGAGUGGCGAACGGGUGAGUAACACGUGAGUAACCUGCCCUUGACUUCGGGAUAACUUCAGGAAACUGGGGCUGAUACCGGAUAGGAAUCCUUGCUGCAUGGUGGGGGUUGGAAAGCUUCGGCGGUUUUGGAUGGACUCGCGGCUUAUCAGCUUGUUGGUGGGGUAGUGGCUUACCAAGGCUUUGACGGGUAGCCGGCCUGAGAGGGCGACCGGCCACAUUGGGACUGAGAUACGGCCCAGACUCCUACGGGAGGCAGCAGUGGGGAAUAUUGCACAAUGGGCGGAAGCCUGAUGCAGCAACGCCGCGUGCGGGAUGACGGCCUUCGGGUUGUAAACCGCUUUCAGCAGGGGCGAAGCUUGUGGUGACGGUACCUGCAGAAGAAGCACCGGCUAACUACG
rnacentral:rRNA from 1 species